rnacentral:lncRNA from 7 species
GAGCCUGAAGGCGUUAAAGCCACGCUGACCAACAAAACUUUUAAAACAUGACUACGGUGAGGAUUUUAGCUCCACGAUGCUGCCAUGCCGGGAUGUGACAGGCUUCCCACCCAGGUCUGGAAGGAGAAACCCUCAAUGCUUACAGCUCCCACCUUGACCAUGUCAAGAAGCUUCCCUCAUGCACUCUGUGAGCCAGCUCAGCUCCUCUCCUUAAGCACUGCCAUACCAAAGCCAUCUGGGGCAGCAGCCAAUGAAGGAUCCAGCAGCAUACCUGCAGUAAGGAGUCAAUCUCUGCUGAAGUAAUUUUGCUUAUGGAUUCAGAUAAGGUCAGAAGAGACCUUCAGCAGUGCAGACAUCUGUACUAGGUGGUCAAUGAUGUUAGCAGCAAACAUAAACCCCAAUGAGGAGCAGCAUGAGCCAUGGAGGGACCCACCCCAGAGCCCGCAUAUGUUGAUGUGGACAAGGGACUGACACUAGCAUGUUUUGUCUUCCUCUGCCUUUUCUUGAUUGUGAUGAUAAUUCGCUGCGCAAAAGUCAUCAUGGACCCUUACAGUGCCAUCCCCACAUCCACAUGGGAGGAGCAGCACCUGGAUGACUGAAGGGGCUUGAUUACACAGAGCCAUAAGAUGCUGCAAUCUAGGAGGCCUCUGCCUAUCAGGAAGGCAAGCAGAAACAGCCAUUUUCAGAUAUGCAGGAUGACGGCAAUAUAUUUAAGAGCCAAUAGUUCAUGUGAUUAUUGCUCAAUAGACCAGAACAUCAACAAGCCAUUCUGGAAGCACAAUAAUACUAUGCAGCAACCCUCAUCUUAAUGAAGAUGGUCAUCAUAUAGCUCAGUAGCACAACGUCCUCCAGACUUUUCCUAUAGCUACAGCACAGUUUGCCCUCAAUGCCUCCCACAAAUUCAGGGCUUUAUUCAGAAAUUGGAAUUUGAUAAAGCAAUCAGAAUGUCUUCCCUGAAUACAAGAUUACUUCAAUUACCUUUCUGAGUCAUUAUAUUUGUGCUUGGAAGAAAGGCAAAGUUCUACAGUUUUGUCUCCCCAAGUACUGUUAGGUAGAAUCAUAAAAUCAUCAAGGCUGGAAAGACCAACAGGGUUGUCUAGCCCAGUCAUCAGCCCAGGAGAAGGAGCACUUGAGCACCAUGGCUAUGAGCAAGUUUAUUCCCAAUGAAAUAAGUUGUGCCCAUAUGCCCCCCCACCACAGCACUGUCAUAUUUUUAGUGAUCAAGGUACAGAAGUACUCAAACUGAAGUUCCCAAGGGGGCUGUGGGCUAUGGUUGACUCUGCAGCAUGACCUUUCUCUAUCCUACUCAUGGAUAACUAGAUAUGUUGACAUCUGCCAUGGGUCCAUCAAUCAGCCAGAUCUCUUGCAAUGAGCUCGGUAGCCACAGUUCACAGAGCAGAGCUUGGACACCACUGGCUUCAAACUACACAACUUGCAAUGUUUAUCAAAGAGUGAUUCCACACUAAACUUCAUUCAUCUCUCAUUUUAGCCACAGUUCAGUGGGAUCACACAUAGAUGUUAAAGACAAUAAGCAAAGACGUUCCCAGCUUUGUCAGUCAGAUUUGUUAGCCCAAGUUACAGUAGCAACAACAUUCAUUCUACCUCGAACAAAUUCAGUACCUUUCAAAUACUUUUUCCCCAUGUUUUCGGUGAUGAUCUAUGUAUAUCCUUUACUCAAUGCAUUAAGAAAGCCAUUUUGAAAGAAG